rnacentral:rRNA from 1 species
GAUCGAUGGCUACGAGGACGAACGCUGGCGGCGUGCCUAACACAUGCAAGUCGAGCGGAGACAGAUUUGAGCUUGCUUGAAUCUGUUUUAGCGGCGGACGGGUGAGUAACGCGUGAGCAACCUUUCUCUCAGUGGGGAAUAACGCAGGGAAACUUGUACUAAUACCGCAUGAGACCACACUACCGCAUGGUAGAGGGGUCAAAGAUUAAUCGCUGAGAGGUGGGCUCGCGUCUGAUUAGAUAGUUGGUGGGGUAACGGCCUACCAAGUCGACGAUCAGUAGCCGACCUGAGAGGGUGAUCGGCCACAUUGGGACUGAGACACGGCCCAAACUCCUACGGGAGGCAGCAGUGGGGAAUAUUGGGCAAUGGGCGAAAGCCUGACCCAGCAACGCCGCGUGAAGGAAGAAGGUCUUCGGAUUGUAAACUUCUUUUAUUAGGGACGAAUACUGACGGUACCUAAUGAAUAAGCCACGGCUAACUACGUG